AUUAGCUACUGUUUUUAGUUUCCCCCACAGAAAAAUUGUAUGUAGAGCCUUUCCACUCCAUCAGUUGUGAGAGGAGGAACAAUUUCUAGAGUUGAGAAGAGAAACCCAAAGGCAAACCUGUUGGUCGACACAGCAACACCUUCUCCUGUGAUAUCAAAAACGAAGCUGGAAAUGGAAACCGUGAUGGAGAUUGUGCCAGGGAAAGAAAAGGUCAGGGUGAAAGUCUU
rnacentral:lncRNA from 1 species